rnacentral:rRNA from 1 species
UACGGGGGGAGCAAGCGUUGUUCGGAUUUACUGGGCGUAAAGGGCGCGUAGGCGGCCAGCGCAAGUCAGUUGUGAAAUCUCCGGGCUUAACUCGGAACGGUCAACUGAUACUGCGCGGCUAGAGUGCAGAAGGGGCAACUGGAAUUCUCGGUGUAGCGGUGAAAUGCGUAGAUAUCGGGAGGAACACCCUGUGGCGAAGGCGGACCC